rnacentral:rRNA from 1 species
UACAGAGGUCCCAAGCGUUGUUCGGAUUCACUGGGCGUAAAGGGUGCGUAGGUGGUUGGGCAAGUCUGAUGUGAAAUCUCCGGGCUUAACCCGGAAAUGGCAUUGGAAACUGCUCGGCUAGAGUGUUGGAGGGGGGACUGGAAUUCUCGGUGUAGCAGUGAAAUGCGUAGAUAUCGAGAGGAACACCAGUGGCGAAGGCGGCAUCCUGGACCGGUAUUGACGCUGAUGCGCGAAAGCCAGGGGAGCAAACGGG